rfam:Myceliophthora thermophila ATCC 42464 chromosome 3, complete sequence.
GCCUGAUUAGCAUAGUGGCUAAUGCGUUGCACUUGUAUCGACCGCCCGUCCUUUGUGAUGGGGUUCUUCGACGACAUGCAAAGAUCGCAGGUUCGAUUCCUGCAUUAGGCA